rnacentral:sRNA from 1 species
CUGCAACCUCCACCUCCCGGGUUCAAGCGAUUUCCGGCUAAUUUUUGUAUUUUUAGUAGAAAUGGGGUUUUAUCAUGUUGGCCAGGCUGGUCUUGAACUCCUGAUCUCAAGUGAUUCACUUGCCUCGGCCUCCCAAAGUGCUAGGAUUACAGGGCUGAGCCACUGUGCCUGGCAGAAUACUCCCCAAUCUUAAUGUUUCUGUGAUUCUAAGAGAGUUAGAUCUGAGGAAGGUGGUCGUAGUUAGCCAUUAAAAGCCAUUCAGCAUAGUCCAGUAUAUGGGACACUAGCCUUCAGUAGGCUGCAUUUGUUUCUCGCAGUGUCCCAUGGCCCUUUCUCCCUGCAUGGAAGCCUUCUCCCUUUUUCCAGGAGGAGACAGGCGAGAGAGGUCCAGCCUUUCUCUUGACUAUAGCUGGGCGGGGAGGGAGGUGAACUGGGCAAGCACUGGGAUUUUUUGAGAGCCUUUUCCCCUGAGCUGUUUUCUCUGCUACUCGCUUUCAUCCCCACCGUUGGCAUUUAGGAGCUGGAGCAGAUUUUGUCAUGCUGGGAGGAAUGUUUUCGGGUCAUACGGAGUGUGCUGGAGAAGUGAUUGAGAGGAACGGACGGAAGCUCAAGCUCUUCUACGGGAUGAGCUCUGACACAGCCAUGAACAAGCAUGCAGGAGGAGUUGCUGAGUACAGAGCCUCUGAGGGUAAGACUGUGGAAGUGCCUUACAAAGGAGAUGUGGAAAACACUAUCCUGGAUAUUCUCGGGGGACUGAGGUCCACGUGCACCUACGUGGGGGCCGCCAAACUCA